UACGUAGGGUGCAAGCGUUGUCCGGAAUUAUUGGGCGUAAAGAGCUCGUAGGCGGUCUGUCGCGUCGGCUGUGAAAUCCCGAGGCUCAACCUCGGGUCUGCAGUCGAUACGGGCAAACUGGAGUGUUGCAGGGGAGACUGGAAUUCAUGGUGUAGCGGUGAAAUGCGCAGAUAUCAGGAGGAACACCGGUGGCGAAGGCGGGUCUCUGGGCCGAUACUGACGCUGGAGACGCGAAAGCGUGGGGAGCGAACAGG
rnacentral:rRNA from 1 species